UUAGUGACUGUCCACCACCCUUAGUCCCCUACUACACUGUACGUGCCUCAAGGACAGGGACCAUGCUAGUCUUGGCUGCUGGCACAGUGUGAUGGGCACUUAUUGGUAAUUAAUAUUUAUUGAAUGAAUGGACAAGUGGACAAGAGUUACACAGAGGCUACUCAGAGUUGGAGUCCUGAGGUUCAGGAUUCUCCCUUGAUGGCUAUCAGUGGCCUGCAGUCUGGGAGAACUGCAAGUGUGGAUCCACAAGUGUGUUGGCAGAUUUCAGCUUCUGCGAGGUGGGUGGUAUGUUAGUCAAAGUACACUGACUGCCAUAACAAAGAAUCCUCAAAUUUCAGGGCCUUGACAUAAUGCAAAUUUAUUUCUUGCUACCGUUACAUUCCUGUGUAGGCUGGGGGAGGGGACGCUGCUCCUAGGGGACUGGGCUCCUUCAGGUUUUUAGCUCCUCCCUCUUCUAGGUCCUCAGAGUCCUUUCCUUGCAGCUGGCAGGUGGGGAAAGAGCAAAUGUGGAGGAUUGUGCAGGAGAGUUUUUGGCUGUAUCAGAUUUUGCUGUUCAAUAAACCACCCCAAACUUAGCACUUACUACAGUGAACAUUUAUUGUUUCUUGCAAUCUUGUGGACUUGCUGGGUGGUUGUCCUGGUCUGGGCUGGUGGAGCUGGAGCUGGCUGGACUAGGAUGGUCCUGCUCACAUAUCCAGGGCUGCAGCAGGGAAGGCUGGGCUUCUGCAUAUGUGAGCAAGACCAUCCCUGACCUGGGCUGGUUCACACAGCGGAGAAGGGUUCCCAGCCACAAGAGAAGGCAAGCCCCUGGGGAAAAACUUGAAAACUCUUUCAAAUUUCUGUUUCUGACACAUUUACUAUUAUCCCAUCAGCCAAAACAAAUAACAUGGUCAAACCCGGAAUUGCUAUGGGAGGAGACUACCCAAGGUGAAGAAUCAGGAAGCAGAACCACGGAAGCCUAGGCCUAGCGGCAUUGUGCAUCAAUCCUGUCCUCACCCCAUUGCCAGACAGAGACGUGCUCCCCUGUGCAGAGGAGGAUGGGAAGCGUCGGCUCACUCUGUGCCCAGGAGGAAAAGGCCAUGGUGUUGAUGAACACAACAGUUUCUACUGCAGGCCUUCAAGCUACAAAGAUGCAGGAAACUGUGCCCUUUGAGUAUCCUCUGAUGGUGAGGAAGAAACCUUCCAGUCUUUUCUGUCCACAGCAGAGGGAAAUGACUUACUGCUCCCCCAUCCCGCACAAAGAUGGCAAAGCAAAUUGGCCUCUGGGACAUGGCUCACAUACUCCACAAGCAAGUGCUUGGCUUACUACUUUUACAACUCUGUUCUUAAGUUGCCCCCAGGAAGUAAAGACCAGAAGUUAGCUUGACUUCUCCUAUUCCCAGGUCCACAGCAAACUGAUCUCCCUCUCCUUUCCUCAUACGAUUGAGAAAGCAAAGUAACUCAGAGCCCAUCUGAGUUGUGCAAGAUCUGCUUAAUUUAUCAGGCCCAGAGACAUAAGCAUGGAACUCCAGCCACAUCCCCCUCACCCAUGUCCGGGAUAAUGCAAAAAGGUAUGUUUCAGCAUAUUCCAGGCCAGCUGCCACUACCAACGAUUGUAAAUUACCCAAAAUAUUAUCACAGGUUGUACAAUAUAACCCUUUUUCUUUGACUUUCCUGGACUUUAUGACACAAAGAGCAAUGUAAAGCCAAUCAGCAGCUCAUGUUAUUCUAGUGAACUGAUGUAAAUUUCUGGCAAACAACUUUGGAACUGCCCCUUUAAGAUUCUCCUCUUUCCUUUAAAAACCCGUGUGUACCUGCUGCCAGGUGGAGCACAUAUCCAAGGCAAUUUGGGUUUGUGUUUCCCAGGCUACAGUCCUAAACCUUGGACCAAAUAAACUCAGUUUUAUGUA